rnacentral:rRNA from 1 species
AUGAACGCUGGCGGCGUGCCUAAUACAUGCAAGUCGAGCGAACGGACGAGAAGCUUGCUUCUCUGAUGUUAGCGGCGGACGGGUGAGUAACACGUGGAUAACCUACCUAUAAGUCUGGGAUAACUUCAGGAAACCGGAGCUAAUACCGGAUGAUAUUUUGAUCCGCAUGGUUCAAAAGUGAAAGACGGUCUUGCUGUCACUUAUAGAUGGAUCCGCGCUGCAUUAGCUAGUUGGUAAGGUAACGGCUUACCAAGGCAACGAUGCAUAGCCGACCUGAGAGGGUGAUCAGCCACACUGGAACUGAGACACGGUCCAGACUCCUACGGGAGGCAGCAGUAGGGAAUCUUCCGCAAUGGGCGAAAGCCUGACGGAGCAACGCCGCGUGAGUGAUGAAGGUCUUCGGAUCGUAAAACUCUGUUAUUAGGGAAGAACAUAUGUGUAAGUAACUGUGCACAUCUUGACGGUACCUAAUCAGAAAGCCACGGCUAACUACGUG